rnacentral:rRNA from 1 species
GAUGAACGCUAGCGAUAGGCUUAACACAUGCAAGUCGAGGGGCAGCAUGAUCUUAGCUUGCUAAGGUCGAUGGCGACCGGCGCACGGGUGCGUAACGCGUAUGCAACUUGCCUUACAGAGGGGGAUAACCCGUUGAAAGACGGACUAAAACCGCAUACACUUGUAUUAUUGCAUGAUAUUACAAGGAAAUAUUUAUAGCUGUAAGAUAGGCAUGCGUCCCAUUAGCUAGUUGGUGAGGUAACGGCUCACCAAGGCAACGAUGGGUAGGGGAACUGAGAGGUUUAUCCCCCACACUGGUACUGAGACACGGACCAGACUCCUACGGGAGGCAGCAGUGAGGAAUAUUGGUCAAUGGGCGAGAGCCUGAACCAGCCAAGUCGCGUGAAGGAAGACAGUCCUAAGGAUGUGUAAACUUCUUUUAUACGGGAAUAACGGGCGAUACGAGUAUUGCAUUGAAUGUACCGUAAGAAUAAGCAUCGGCUAACUCCGUGCCAGCAGCCGCGGUAAUACGGAGGAUGCGAGCGUUAUCCGGAUUUAUUGGGUUUAAAGGGUGCGUAGGUUGUUCGGUAAGUCAGCGGUGAAACCUGAGCGCUCAACGUUCAGCCUGCCGUUGAAACUGCCGGGCUUGAGUUCAGUGGCGGCAGGCGGAAUUCGUGGUGUAGCGGUGAAAUGCAUAGAUAUCACGAGGAACUCCGAUUGCGAAGGCAGCUUGCCAUACUGCGACUGACACUGAAGCACGAAGGCGUGGGUAUCAAACAGGAUUAGAUACCCUGGUAGUCCACGCAGUAAACGAUGAUUACUAGGAGUUUGCGAUAUACCGUCAAGCUUCCACAGCGAAAGCGUUAAGUAAUCCACCUGGGGAGUACGCCGGCAACGGUGAAACUCAAAGGAAUUGACGGGGGCCCGCACAAGCGGAGGAACAUGUGGUUUAAUUCGAUGAUACGCGAGGAACCUUACCCGGGGAUUGAAAUGUAGAUGACGGAUGGUGAAAACCCG